rnacentral:rRNA from 1 species
GACGAACGCUGGCGGCGUGCUUAACACAUGCAAGUCGAGCGGAAAGGCCACUUCGGUGGUACUCGAGCGGCGAACGGGUGAGUAACACGUGAGUAAUCUGCCCCUGGCUUUGGGAUAGCCACCGGAAACGGUGAUUAAUACCGGAUACGACCACUUCUCGCAUGGGAUGGUGGUGGAAAGUUUUUUCGGCCAGGGAUGUGCUCGCGGCCUAUCAGCUUGAUGGUGAGGUAAUGGCUCACCAUGGCUUCGACGGGUAGCCGGCCUGAGAGGGUGACCGGUCACACUGGGACUGAGACACGGCCCAGACUCCCACGGGAGGCAGCAGUGGGGAAUAUUGGACAGUGGGCGGAAGCCUGAUCCAGCAACGCCGCGUGAGGGGUGACGGCCUUCGGGUUGUAAACCUCUUUCAGCAGGGACGAAGCGCAAGUGACGGUACCUGCAGAAGAAGCACCGGCCAACUACGUGCCAGCAGCCGCCGUAA